rnacentral:sRNA from 1 species
GCUGGGUGCAGUGGUGCACACCUGUAAUCCCAGCAGCUGGAGAGGCUGGGGCAGGAGGAUUAUGAGUUCAAAGCCAGCUUCAGCAAAAGUGAGGCACUAAGCAACUCAAUGAGACCCUGCCUCCA